rnacentral:rRNA from 1 species
ACGACGGGGCCCGCACAAGCGGUGGAGUAUGUGGUUUAAUUCGACGCAACGCGCAGAACCUUACCUAGACUUGACAUCCCGGGGAUUUUCUGGAAACAGAGAAGUGCUUUAGCAAUAAAGAACCCGGUGACAGGUGCUGCAUGGCUGUCGUCAGCUCGUGUCGUGAGAUGUUGGGUUAAGUCCCGCAACGAGCGCAACCCUCGCCUUUAGUUGCCAGCAUUCAGUUGGGCACUCUAGAGGGACUGCCGGUGUCAAACCGGAGGAAGGUGGGAUGACGUCAAGUCCUCAUGGCCUUUAUGUCUAGGGCUACACACGUACUACAAUGGCCGGUACAAAGGGCAGCCACUCAGCGAUGAGGCGCUAAUCCCAUAAAGCCGGUCUCAGUCCGGAUCGCAAUCUGCAACUCGACUGCGUGAAGUUGGAAUCGCUAGUAAUCGUAGAUCAGCAUGCUACGGUGAAUACGUUCCCGGGCCUU